CCAGUCACUGGGUCCUGGGUGUGGCUUUCAGCCCCUCCGAUUUUGCACAAGGACAAAAAACUCCUUCCAUUAUCACUGCAAGUUUUGUUCCACACCGAAUGAAGUCGUUGGAGUCUACUGUGUGCACCUGAGGCUUAUUGACUCGAAACCAUUUGCAACUCCACAAGGCAGAGCGUUUGGUUGAGAGAGGGAGAGACAGAGAGAGAGGGGGAAAAUGGGGAACUAUUUCCAUCUGCUGUUGCUCUUGGCUUUGUCUCAACUUGCUGUGUUGCAUAAAGUCAAGAUGGCAAAUAUUCUCAAGAUUCCAGUCUCGGGAGUUACGAUAAAAUCAUCCCUUAAUUCCUCUGUCCUGGCAGAAGGCAGCAAACUGACUCUAAGUUGCAUUGUGAAGGAAGGUACCAAUGUGACUUAUCAAUGGUAUUUCAACAAUGAGAAAAUAACUGAAUUUUCUCCCUCAACCCAGUCUGAUCUGGUUAUAAACAAAGUGAAUGUCAAUCACUCUGGGAAAUAUUACUGUGAAGCGAGAAACUUGUUCAAUUUGUACACAUCCAGCGUUACAAGCAAUGACACCGAAAUAAUAGUUAAAGUUCCAGUAUCCAAUCCGAGUAUUGAGGUCCGGAUCGUCACUGCCAAACCGAAAAUAAUGGCAAUAAUAGUUGUUCGUCAGACCAAGGGACUUUGCCAAUAAUAUUCACACUAUACAAGAAUAAAGUUUCGUGAGAAAUGUAACUGCAUCGAGUGUGAGACAUGUUGAAUUAAUUGUGCAGAUGACUCAAAAUCAAGGAGAUAUUUACAAGUGCAAGGCUGACAAUGGAUUUAUGCCAAAAUAUAGCAACGGAUUGGUCAUAGAUUUGUCUGUUAACCUGACCUCAAGACACACUGUUGGGCAGGAAGUUAAUUUAACUUGCAUUGUAAACUAUGAAUUCAGAGGAGUUUACACCUGGUACUUUGUAACCCCAUCGAGGAAUCAUACUGAAAUUUCAAAUACAAAUUAUUGGAAUAUUAAUCCAGUAGAGCCUGGGAAGUAUUACUGCUCAGUUAACGGACAAUUAAGCAAGAGCUUUGAAAUACCUAGUAAAGGUACCAAAUUUCAGACUGCCAUGAUCGCCAUCUCUGCAAUUCUGGGCGUACUAGGUAUUCUACUUGUCAUUUGCAUUUGUUACUGCAUUUGGAGGAGCUGUCGCGAGUAACUUGGUUAAAAUGUUCCAUCAACACAAAUCCAGCCCAGGAAAAAAUUCAUUUGAAAUGAACAUCGCACGUACUUUCUGCAGAAAGUACCCACGACUUGUCACGGAUAACUCAAACAGCGUUUAGUUUCAAAUGUUUAGAGUUGAUCAUCAUUUUGCGGGAUGGAAAAGUCCAAGUUGAUUAUUGCUAUUGUCUGGAUAUUUGGGAUGCUUUCCCUUUGAGGUUUGAUAUGGGAUUUGACUGGCCUCAUGAAUUCAUCUUGGAAUUAAGGAUAUUCUAACAAGAAAUCAGUGGUGGAUGGAGUUAUCGUGAUGUUAUUCAUCACUUACUGACAAUCUGCAUAGGCUUCUCAUGAACUCCAUAGCUCACAUUAACUUGUUUAUUAUCAAGUAGAUUGUGUAAAAAUCAUUCUCUGUAAGACAGUGUCACUGUUUACCAAACGCAGAGAGCGUCACUUAAAUCUCAUCAAGAAUAAAAAAAAUUAUAAUCUUGUCAUUCUCAUGGAAAAAUCCCCUAAGGCCUUUUAAGCCCAAGCAUCAGAGCAUUUCAUUCCCCAGUUAGAAGGUGAUUUUUAUUUUAUUUCCUUUCUUCAAUAAUUGUGCCAUCUCAAAUCAGGUCGAGUUUCUUCAUCGGCAGAGAGCUGCUCAUCGUGGUUUGAUGCUGGCAUUCCUGCCCUAUUAAAACCAAACCUCCAGAGUAGGGCAGUAACCAGAGGAUGCCUUGCAGCCCCAGUACUGGAUGAUACAUCUUUGGAAGGGAUGCGCUGCGAGAGGAAUUGGGCGGGAAGCCAAUACAAAAAGGAAAGGAAUCGUCAUAGUGAUAGAGGAAGCAAACAGAAAGGUAUUUACAUUUGCAGUCAUUAGGUGCAGUCACGUACAUUCCCUUGCAGCAGAAAUGGAGUCAGCAUGCCUGUAACCCCCUCUUCCUGUCUCGCUGGGGGAUCCGCACAAUCACUGUAAAAUGCUUUGAGAUGUAUCCAACUCGAAAUGUGCUAUCUUUAAGCGCAAGUUGUUGUUUUUGUAAAGACUGUGGAUGGACUGUUUUGAGAACAGGAUAUACAACAAUAUUCUGAUAUCGGACAGAAAGUUUCUGGCAGACGCUUUUGCCGUUUGAAAAUAUUGUCCCAUUGGAGGAAACAUCUGCAACUGGAAUCUCAGGUUUUCCUUUGUGCAUUCGCAGUAUCCUGGCACUGGAUAAAAAUACACUGCAUCAGAAGCAAAACAACCUAUACGAGCACCAAGGUGUUUGAAAUUCAGGUUCAAGAAAACUAUUCAUCCUCCAAGGAAGAUGGUCAACCAGCUCUGCUUCAAAGAAUGUUUACAGUACAGAACUACUAGUAUUAUUGUUCGGCAUUGCAGGGUUAACAGGAGCCGAGUGAGAAGAAUCUCAGACCCCAGUAAACCCUUUGCCCCCUCCAUGUCUUGCCGAUGAGCCAGGCUGGCUGAUCUGUCAUCAGCUGUACCUUGGAGAACGGUGGACCUACUUGGCUCAGGAAGUAGACUAUUGAGACAGCCACAGAGUGUUGACUCGAUUCUGAUAUUCCAUUACCAGGCACUUUGGAGCCAGCAGAAGCUCUUUUAAGGAGACCCCACUUACCUCCCUCCAAGGAGGACAGUCACUAGUUGAUCAUUUGACCUCCGAAAGCUCAGAUCAGGCUAUUUUGCCCAAUGUGUCUGUACUGGUCCUAGCUCCUCACUGUUGCCAUUUGCUCUUAUUUUCUAUUCACCUGCUCUUUCCGCAUAAUCUUUCAAGCUGUUUUUGCCCCAAGUAGUUUUUCAAUUCCCUUUAAAAUUCUGUCUCAUCUUCAACAUCUAGCUAUAAAGUUCCUUCCAUUUAAUUGUAUGGCUUUGUGGUGAAAUUGUUCCCGACUUUUAGUGAAGGUCGAAGGAAGUCCUAUGGGGGUGGAAAAAAAAGACACACUCCUCAUACCACACUUUGCAUUGCAUUGUAGGACUGAUUUUGUUGUGCGUUACAGGCCUGAUCAACUUCAAUGGGAUUGAGAUAGUAAACCUAGAGCAAUACUUCCAGAUAUGCCAAGGCAGCAGAACAAGAUGUCACAGAUUCAGGAUUUCUUAAAAGCAAUUUCAGGACACACACCAGGAAACAUUACUUUAACCAGAAGGUAAUUAAUGACUGGUACGGGUUACCAGGAAAGGUGGCUGAGGCCAGGAUUUAGUCCCAGCUCAGUGUUCCUGUCGUAAAAGAGUUAAAUUGCACCCAACGUUUGCACGUAGUAAAUUAUUGAGUGGUUUAAAACAAGAUGAGAUAGUUCAAGUGGUCAAUAUAAGUACCUGUUGGCGAGUGACCAUGUAAAAUUAGAAACCUUUUCAACUCCCAGGGAAGCAUCGCAACAACGUGCACUUCUACAGAGCAUAUACCCAAUUAUCAGGAGCAUCUUAAAAGCAACCCUGUGUCACUAACUCCAGCCGUAGCUCGCAGUGUUUCGUUUCUCCUUGUAUCUAGAUUUUCAUGUUUGUGCGUUUUCAAAAUAUGCAGGAAAAGCAGGAAGUCCCUGCUUAAAGGAUUACCUUCAGGGGAUAUGCGCGUUCAUAUUUACUGUAAAGUAUCCUUACUUGUGUUUUUAUAUACAGUAUAUAUAUAAUCUAAAUUGUUAUAUUGGUUGUUAUAAUGUAUCAUAGGAUGCCAUCGUAUGUUUAGAUUUAGUUGAUCAGUUUUAAGAAUGUUUCAAAACGUUGUAACAUCCAAAAUGUCUUGAGUAGAGCAAUAAAAUUUCAUGUAAUUCCC